UAAUUAUUUGGCCACAAAUACAUGAGGAUGGCAGGAAAGCCACAUCACACUGUUGACUCAUAUUCAGCUUGUGAUCAACAACAAUUCCAAGAUCCUUCUCACAUGUCGUAUGAAACAAUGCAGGAGACGGCUUGAGUGCAGAUGGAGACGAACUCCUGAUGGAUUCAAUUACACACUGGAUGUACACCUUAACGUGGUGAGGGGGUUUGAGAGUGUUGAAGAAGCUGAGAGCAAUGCCGUCAGGAGUCUAGACCAAGAGGCUAGACUCCUAGAAGGGGCACCCAAUGCUGAAUGUUCAAAGCUGAGACACCAGACUAAGAUGCAUCCAAAUUGUGUCAAGAAAUAUGGAAAACUAAACAAUGGCCCACAGACUGGAAGCGUUCCAUAUACAUCCCAAUUCCAAAGAAAGGGGAUCUCAGGGAAUGCAGUAAUUAUCAAACUAUUGCCUUAAUAUCUCAUGGAAGUAAAGUAAUGCUCAAGAUUCUACAACAAAGGCUCUUACCAUAUAUGGAGCGAGAAAUGCCAGACGUCCAAGCUGGAUUCAGAAAGGGAAGAGGCACCAGAGAUCAUAUUGCAAACGUAUGCUGGAUAAUGGAAUAGACCAAGGAAUUUCAGAAGAAAAUCACCUUGUGCUUUAUAGAUUACAGCAAAGCCUUCGAAUGUGUAGAUCAUGAAAAACUAUGGAAUACUUUAAAAGAAAUGGGGGUGCUACAGCAUCUGAUUGUCCUGAUGCGCAACCUAUACUCUGGACAAGAGGCUACUGUAAGGACAGAAUAUGGAGAAACCGGGUGAUUCCCCAUCAGAAAGGGUGUGAGACAGGGAUGUAUUUUAUCACCCUAUUUGUUUAAUCUAUACACAGAACAUAUCAUACUGCAAGCGGAAUUGGACCAAGAUGAAGGAGGUGUGAAAAUUGGAGGAAGAAAUAUCAAUAAUUGAAGAUAUGCAGACGAUACCAUACUACUAGCAGAAACCAGUAAUGAUUUGAAACAAAUGCUGAUGACAGUUAAAGAGGAAAGCACAAAAGCAGGACUACAGCUAAACGUCAAGAAGACUAAAGUAAUGACAACAGAAAAUUUAUGCAACUUUAAAGUUGACAAUGAGGACAUUGAACUUGUCAAGGAUUAUUGAUACCUUGGCACAGUCUUUAACCAAAAUGGGGACAAUCAGAAGAAGGCUUGGACUGGGGACGGUAGGUGUGAGAGAACUAGAAAAGGUCCUCAAAUGCAAAGAUGUAUCACUGAACACUAAAGUCAGGAUCAUUCAGACCAUGGUAUUCCCGAUCUGUAUGUAUGGAUGUGAAAGUUGGACAGUGAAAAAAGCAGAUAGGAGAAAAAUCAACUCAUUUGAAAGUGUUGGAGGAGAGCUUUGUGCAUACCAUGGACUGUGGAAAAGACCUAUAAUUGGGUGUUAGAACAAAUUAAACCAGAACUAUCACUAGAAGCUAAAAUGAUGAAACUGAGGUUAUCAUACUUUGGACACAUAAUGAGAAGACAGGAUUCACUAGAAAAGACAAUAAUGCUUGGAAAAACAGAAGGGAGUAGAAAAAGAGGAAGGCCAAACAAGAGAUGGAUUGAUUCCAUAAAGGAAGUCACAGACCUGAACUUACAAGAUCUGAACAGGGUGGUUCAUGACAGAUGCUCUUGGAGGUCGCUGAUUCAUAAGGUUGCCAUAAGUCGUGGUCAACUUGGAGGCACAUAGAAGAAGAAGAGAGUUAGAAGAGAGCUUUGCGCAUAACAUGGACUGUGGAAAAGACAAACAAUUGGGUGUUAGUCAGUGUGGUGUAGUGGUUAAGGUGUUGGACUACGACCUGGGAGACCAGGGUUUGAAUUCCCACAUGAAGCUCAGUGGGUGACUUUGGACCAGUCACUGCCUCUCAGCCUCAUGAAAACCCUGUUCAUAGGGUCGCCAUAAGUCGGAAUCGACUUGAAGAGAGUACAUUUACAUUUAGAACAAAUUAAACCAGAACUACCAUUAGAAGCUAAAAUGAGGUUAUCAUAAUUUGGAUGCAUGAUGAGAAGACCUGAUUCACUAGGACAGACAAUAAUGCUGGGAAAAACAGAAGGGAGUAGAAAAAGAGGAAGGACAAACAAGAGAUGGAUUGAUUCCAUAAAGGAAGCCACAGACCUGAACUUACAAGAUCUGAACAGGGUGCUUCAUGGCAGAUGCUGUUGGAGAUCGCAGAUUCAUAGGGUCGCCAUAAGUCGUAGUCGACUUGAAGGCACAUAACAACAACAAUUAUGCAUUUAAAAUGGUUGAAACCUGCCCUGGGACCUUUGGGUGAAGGGCGGGUAAUCAAUUCUAAUAACAGUAAUAAUAAUAGGCUUCUUUUGAGCCUAAUUCCUGCAAAGGAGGGGCUCUACAGAAGGCUUCUGUGACUCCAUGUGUGCCUCUAGGCCAGCCUUUCCCAACCAGUGUGCCUCCAGAUGUUGUUGGACCACAACUCCCAUAAGCCUCAGCCAGCAUUGCCAAUGGUCAGGAAAGAUGGGAAUUGUGGUCCAACUACAUCUGGAGGCACACUGGUUGGGAAAGGCUGCUCCAGGCACUACAUUGGUAACCCAUGCUGUAGAGGUUUGUAUUGUUUUAAAUCUGUAUUUGAUUGCAUUUUAUCUGUUGUAAACCACUUUCUUUUUUUAAAAAAAGAAAGGCAGGGUAGAACAACAAUGGCAAUAACACAAAAAAAUGGAAUGAGGGGGUAUUUUAUUAAAGAAUUUGACUUUACUAGCAAAACUUCUUGCAAAAGGGCCCUCAAAACCAUCUGAUUGAUGCUUUAAUAUUUUAACAUAAGAACAUAAGACGAGCCUGAUGGAACAGGCCAAUGGCCCAUCUAGUUUAUGGUUCACCAGCAUGGUGCCUGCAAGUGCAAUGGUGCCCUCCAGGUCUCCUACUGAUGUUCACAAAGUCUCUGAACCCCAUACCCCACACUGUCCCGUUGGUCAAGGGUGGUUGAAAAGCACAUAGAGCUGAAAGAGGAAGUUGGAAGAGUGACAAUCUUCCCCACUUCCUCUUUCAAUUCUAUGUACUUUUCAAGGCUCAGAUUAAUUCUACUGAAGUAUCCAGAGGUGGUUGGCACCCACAGCACUGACUCAAAAAUCCUCAUGUGGUUGGUGCUCCUGAAGACUGAUAAUUAACGCUCCCCUCUUUUUCUUAAAGAUUAGAUAUCCCAUUUUCUCUUUUCUUUAAGUCCUCAUAGAUAGAUUUAUUUGGUGUUUUUUGUUUAUAAUCAGUAUUCCCCUUAGUAUUGUCAAUGGUAUCAAUUCGAUUCUGUUCCAUUUGUUAAGUUGAGA